CAUACUUUAUUACAAACUAUGUAUUCUUUUAGUACUUAUGAAUAGUGAUACAUAUCUACUCAAUGGAACUACCUAUACAUUUUCAACGCAAAAGCAAUAGAUAUAAGUAAAAUGUUUAAAUAAUACUGCACUGUCUGUUUCAUGGUUGCCAUAAGAUCUGUACAUAUAUUAUUAUACUGCAGCAUAUUUAAAAAUUAAUCGUGAUAAAACAAAAAUAUAUUUUCUUAAAAAUGUUCUUCUAAAUCAAUAGACAAUCCAGUUCGCGCAAAAAUACGCAAUGCCUAAUAAAAACAUUUAGAUUUUAAACAAUUGAGAAAUAAAUAACAGUUAACAAUUAUUAUUUAUCAAUAUGAAGAUGACAAAACGCAAGGAAUGAUGAAUUGAAAUUGAAAGUUCAUCUAUUCAAAUUUUGAUAAAAAUUUUUUCGUAGUAGUUGUUUAGCUGUUUUAUUUAUUUGCAUUAUUUACAGUUAUAUGUGAUGCAAGGAAUACAAAAAUGGAUGCAACAGGAUCAAUAUCCCCAAAUAUGAAGGAACAAAUAUUUAUUAUUAGGAAGCUGCAUAAUUAUCUGGUAAGGACAAUAUAUUUUAAGUAUAACGAAUAUUUUGUGAAUAUUCUUGAAGAAUAAUAUAUAAAUCAUACACCUUAUUCAGCCAAAAUGGUGUACAUGCAAGCUAUGAAGAAAUAAUAUUUAAUACCAAAAAAUUGUUUACAUAAUUUUUUUUAUACUUUGAUAAAUAUAUCUUAAAGACAAGUUUUCCAUUCUUAUUGUAAUAAAUAUGUAACAAACCAAAAAAAAAGGACUUUGGUAAAUUAAAACAGUAAUUUAUUAUUAUAUUAUUAAUUUGGAUAUUUCAUUUUCAGUUGUCCAGAAGGAGUAUACAAUUACACUUACCUGCAAACAACAGAAAGAAUACGCCCAAAUAAGGAAAUCCAUAUACCCCCAACUACAAUGAAUCUCUUACACUGUCAUCAACUUUUAGAGAAAUGAAUGAGAAUCAACACUUUAUUCUCACAUUUCAGACAAUCAAAUCUGUAAAAGUUAAUGUUAUUCAGUUAAAAAAAUAAAAAUAAAUAUGAUUAUUUUAAUUUACAGAUUCUAUCCAGAGGAAAUGUAUGGUAAAUGGAAUGUUGGCUGGCUUAAUCUUCUAUAAUAAGACUUAUUCAGGACAUAACAGCUGAGUUAGAAAAUGUAAGUUUAGAUAAUUUUUUCUUCUUAUUUUCAAAUUCCUAUUAUUAAUAGUGUUAUGGUAUAAGUUACAGUAGCUGGAUGUGAUGCAACAUUUA